CUGGGAGGACCAUCUCCUAAGGCUAAAUACUCUCUAGUGACCGAUAGUGAACCAGUACCGUGAGGGAAAGGUGAAAAGCACCCCGGAAGGGGAGUGAAAUAGAACCUGAAACCGUGUGCUUACAAGUAGUCAGAGCCCGUUAAUGGGUGAUGGCGUGCCUUUUGUAGAAUGAACCGGCGAGUUACGAUUUGAUGCAAGGUUAAGCAGUAAAUGUGGAGCCGUAGCGAAAGCGAGUCUGAAUAGGGCGUUUAGUAUUUGGUCGUAGACCCGAAACCAGGUGAUCUACCCUUGGUCAGGUUGAAGUUCAGGUAACACUGAAUGGAGGACCGAACCGACUUACGUUGAAAAGUGAGCGGAUGAACUGAGGGUAGCGGAGAAAUUCCAAUCGAACCUGGAGAUAGCUGGUUCUCUCCGAAAUAGCUUUAGGGCUAGCCUCAAGUGAUGAUUAUUGGAGGUAGAGCACUGUUUGGACGAGGGGCCCCUCUCGGGUUACCGAAUUCAGACAAACUCCGAAUGCCAAUUA
rnacentral:rRNA from 1 species